rnacentral:rRNA from 1 species
UUUGGUUAAGUUAGAAAGGGCGCACGGUGGAUGCCUUGACACUAGGAGUCGAUGAAGGACGGGACUAACGCCGAUAUGCUUCGGGGAGCUGUAAGUAAGCUUUGAUCCGAAGAUUUCCGAAUGGGGAAACCCACCAUACGUAAUGGUAUGGUAUCCUUAUCUGAAUACAUAGGGUAAGGAAGACAGACCCAGGGAACUGAAACAUCUAAGUACCUGGAGGAAGAGAAAGCAAAUGCGAUUUCCUGAGUAGCGGCGAGCGAAACGGAACAUAGCCCAAACCAAGAGGCUUGCCUCUUGGGGUUGUAGGACAUUCUAUACGGAGUUACAAAGGAACGAGGUAGACGAAGCGACCUGGAAAGGUCCGUCGUAGAGGGUAACAACCCCGUAGUCGAAACUUCGUUCUCUCUUGAAUGUAUCCUGAGUACGGCGGAACACGUGAAAUUCCGUCGGAAUCUGGGAGGACCAUCUCCCAAGGCUAAAUACUCCCUAGUGAUCGAUAGUGAACCAGUACCGUGAGGGAAAGGUGAAAAGCACCCCGGAAGGGGAGUGAAAGAGAUCCUGAAACCGUGUGCCUACAAAUAGUCAGAGCCCGUUAACGGGUGAUGGCGUGCCUUUUGUAGAAUGAACCGGCGAGUUACGAUCCCGUGCGAGGUUAAGUUGAAGAGGCGGAGCCGCAGCGAAAGCGAGUCUGAAUAGGGCGUUUAGUACGUGGUCGUAGACCCGAAACCAGGUGAUCUACCCAUGUCCAGGGUGAAGUUCAGGUAACACUGAAUGGAGGCCCGAACCCACGCACGUUGAAAAGUGCGGGGAUGAGGUGUGGGUAGCGGAGAAAUUCCAAUCGAACCUGGAGAUAGCUGGUUCUCCCCGAAAUAGCUUUAGGGCUAGCCUUAAGUGUAAGAGUCUUGGAGGUAGAGCACUGAUUGGACUAGGGGUCCUCAUCGGAUUACCGAAUUCAGUCAAACUCCGAAUGCCAAUGACUUAUCCUUAGGAGUCAGACUGCGAGUGAUAAGAUCCGUAGUCAAAAGGGAAACAGCCCAGACCGCCAGCUAAGGUCCCAAAGUGUGUAUUAAGUGGAAAAGGAUGUGGAGUUGCUUAGACAACUAGGAUGUUGGCUUAGAAGCAGCCACCAUUUAAAGAGUGCGUAAUAGCUCACUAGUCGAGUGACUCUGCGCCGAAAAUGUACCGGGGCUAAAUACACCACCGAAGCUGCGGAUUGAUACCAAUGGUAUCAGUGGUAGGGGAGCGUUCUAAGGACAGUGAAGUCAGACCGGAAGGACUGGUGGAGUGCUUAGAAGUGAGAAUGCCGGUAUGAGUAGCGAAAGACGGGUGAGAAUCCCGUCCACCGAAUGCCUAAGGUUUCCUGAGGAAGGCUCGUCCGCUCAGGGUUAGUCAGGACCUAAGCCGAGGCCGACAGGCGUAGGCGAUGGACAACAGGUUGAUAUUCCUGUACCACCUCUUUAUCGUUUGAGCAAUGGAGGGACGCAGAAGGAUAGAAGAAGCGUGCGAUUGGUUGUGCACGUCCAAGCAGUUAGGCUGAUAAGUAGGCAAAUCCGCUUAUCGUGAAGGCUGAGCUGUGAUGGGGAAGCUCCUUAUGGAGCGAAGUCUUUGAUUCCCCGCUGCCAAGAAAAGCUUCUAGCGAGAUAAAAGGUGCCUGUACCGCAAACCGACACAGGUAGGCGAGGAGAGAAUCCUAAGGUGUGCGAGAGAACUCUGGUUAAGGAACUCGGCAAAAUGACCCCGUAACUUCGGGAGAAGGGGUGCUUUCUUAACGGAAAGCCGCAGUGAAUAGGCCCAAGCGACUGUUUAGCAAAAACACAGCUCUCUGCGAAGCCGUAAGGCGAAGUAUAGGGGGUGACACCUGCCCGGUGCUGGAAGGUUAAGGAGAGGGGUUAGCGUAAGCGAAGCUCUGAACUGAAGCCCCAGUAAACGGCGGCCGUAACUAUAACGGUCCUAAGGUAGCGAAAUUCCUUGUCGGGUAAGUUCCGACCCGCACGAAAGGUGUAACGAUUUGGGCACUGUCUCAACCAGAGACUCGGUGAAAUUAUAGUACCUGUGAAGAUGCAGGUUACCCGCGACAGGACGGAAAGACCCCGUGGAGCUUUACUGUAGCCUGAUAUUGAAUUUUGGUACAGUUUGUACAGGAUAGGCGGGAGCCAUUGAAACCGGAGCGCUAGCUUCGGUGGAGGCGCUGGUGGGAUACCGCCCUGACUGUAUUGAAAUUCUAACCUACGGGUCUUAUCGACCCGGGAGACAGUGUCAGGUGGGCAGUUUGACUGGGGCGGUCGCCUCCUAAAGUGUAACGGAGGCGCCCAAAGGUUCCCUCAGAAUGGUUGGAAAUCAUUCGUAGAGUGCAAAGGCAUAAGGGAGCUUGACUGCGAGACCUACAAGUCGAGCAGGGACGAAAGUCGGGCUUAGUGAUCCGGUGGUUCCGCAUGGAAGGGCCAUCGCUCAACGGAUAAAAGCUACCCCGGGGAUAACAGGCUUAUCUCCCCCAAGAGUCCACAUCGACGGGGAGGUUUGGCACCUCGAUGUCGGCUCAUCGCAUCCUGGGGCUGUAGUCGGUCCCAAGGGUUGGGCUGUUCGCCCAUUAAAGCGGUACGCGAGCUGGGUUCAGAACGUCGUGAGACAGUUCGGUCCCUAUCCGUCGUGGGCGUAGGAAAUUUGAGAGGAGCUGUCCUUAGUACGAGAGGACCGGGAUGGACGCACCGCUGGUGUACCAGUUGUUCUGCCAAGGGCAUAGCUGGGUAGCUAUGUGCGGAAGGGAUAAGUGCUGAAAGCAUCUAAGCAUGAAGCCCCCCUCAAGAUGAGAUUUCCCAUAGCGUAAGCUAGUAAGAUCCCUGAAAGAUGAUCAGGUUGAUAGGUUCGAGGUGGAAGCAUGGUGACAUGUGGAGCUGACGAAUACUAAUAGAUCGAGGACUUAACCAUAUAA